rnacentral:rRNA from 1 species
AGCGAACGCUGGCGGCAGGCUUAACACAUGCAAGUCGAGCGGGCAUAGCAAUAUGUCAGCGGCAGACGGGUGAGUAACACGUGGGAACGUACCUUUUGGUUCGGAACAACUGAGGGAAACUUCAGCUAAUACCGAAUAAGCCCUUACGGGGAAAGAUUUAUUGCCGAAAGAUCGGCCCGCGUCUGAUUAGCUAGUUGGUAGGGUAAUGGCCUACCAAGGCGACGAUCAGUAGCUGGUCUGAGAGGAUGAUCAGCCACACUGGGACUGAGACACGGCCCAGACUCCUACGGGAGGCAGCAGUGGGGAAUAUUGGACAAUGGGCGCAAGCCUGAUCCAGCCAUGCCGCGAGAGUGAUGAAGGCCCUAGGGUUGUAAAGCUCUUUUAACGGGGAAGAUAAUGACGGUACCCGUAGAAUAAGCCCCGGCUAACUUCGUGCCAGCCGCCGCCGUAACAC